rnacentral:rRNA from 1 species
AGAGCGAACGCUGGCGGCAGGCCUAACACAUGCAAGUCGAGCGCCCGUAGCAAUACGGGAGCGGCAGACGGGAUAGUAACACGUGGGAACGCGCCCUUCGGUUCGGAAUAACUCAGGGAAACUUGAGCUAAUACCGGAUACGCCCUUACGGGGAAAGAUUUAUUGCCGAAGGAACGGCCCGCGUCCGAUUAGCUAGUUGGUGAGGUAAUGGCUCACCAAGGCGACGAUCGGUAGCUGGUCUGAGAGGAUGACCAGCAUCACUGGGACUGAGACACGGCCCAGACUCCUACGGGAGGCAGCAGUGGGGAAUAUUGGACAAUGGGCGCAAGCCUGAUCCAGCCAUGCCGCGUGGAUGAUGAAGGCCUUAGGGUUGUAAAGUCCUUUUAACGGGGAAGAUAAUGACGGUACCCGUAGAAUAAGCCCCGGCUAACUUCGCGCCAGCAGCUGC